rnacentral:rRNA from 1 species
GGAAUCUUCCACAAUGGGCGCAAGCCUGAUGGAGCAACGCCGCGUGAGUGAUGAAGGCCUUCGGGUUGUAAAACUCUGUCUUCUGUGACGAACAAGCCUGUGAGUGGAAAGCUCAGGCCCUGACGGUAACAGAGGCGGAAGCCACGGCUAACUACGUGCCCUCAGCCGCGGUAAUACGUAGGUGGCAAGCGUUGUCCGGAAUCACUGGGCGUAAAGCGCGCGCAGGCGGCGAUCUACGUCUGGGGUGAAAGCCCGGAGCUCAACUCUGGGACUGCCUUGGAUACGGGAUCGCUUGAGGAUUGGAGAGGCAAGGGGAAUUCCACGUGUAGCGGUGAAAUGCGUAGAUAUGUGGAGGAACACCUGUGGCGAAGGCGCCUUGCUGGCCAAUUUCUGACGCUGAGGCGCGAAAGCGUGGGGAGCAAA